rnacentral:rRNA from 1 species
UCUGGCUCAGGAUGAACGCUAGCGGCAGGCCUAACACAUGCAAGGUCGCGGGGCAGGCACGGGUAGCAAGUACCUGGUGGCGACCGGCGCACGGGUGCGUAACGCGUAUGCAACCUGCCCCCAUCAGGGGAAUAGCCCGCCGAAAGGCGGAUUAAUGCCCCAUAGGCCCAGGGCGCCGCAUGGCGCUAUGGGUAAAGCUCCGGCGGAUGGGGAUGGGCAUGCGUGCCAUUAGCUAGUUGGGGCGGUAACGGCGCACCAAGGCGACGAUGGCUAGGGGGUCUGAGAGGAUGGUCCCCCACACUGGUACUGAGACACGGACCAGACUCCUACGGGAGGCAGCAGUGAGGAAUAUUGGUCAAUGGGCGGAAGCCUGAACCAGCCAUGCCCGCGUGCAGGAUGACGGCCCUACGGGUUGUAAACUGCUUUUCCCCGGGAAGAAUAAGCCCCUCGUGAGGGGUGAUGCCGGUACCGGGGGAAUAAGGAUCGGCUAACUCCGUGCCAGCAGCUGC